rnacentral:tRNA from 1 species
GGGCGCUUAGCUCAGCUGGUCAGAGCGUUCGCUUCACAUGCGAAAGGCCGCUGGUUCGAGCCCAGCAGCGCCCACCA